GCAGCAGCCACGGGAAUACAGAGGGUGCGAGCGUUAAUCGGAUUUACUGGGCGUAAAGCGUGCGUAGGCGGCUUCUUAAGUCGGAUGUGAAAUCCCUGAGCUUAACUUAGGAAUUGCAUUCGAUACUGGGAAGCUAGAGUAUGGGAGAGGAUGGUAGAAUUCCAGGUGUAGCGGUGAAAUGCGUAGAGAUCUGGAGGAAUACCGAUGGCGAAGGCAGCCAUCUGGCCUAAUACUGACGCUGAGGUACGAAAGCAUGGGGAGCAAACAGGAUUAGAUACCCCUGUAGUCCCUGUCUCUUAUAU
rnacentral:rRNA from 1 species